rnacentral:rRNA from 1 species
CCUACGGGUGGCAGCAGUGGGGAAUAUUGGGCAAUGGGCGCAAGCCUGACCCAGCAACGCCGCGUGAAGGAAGAAGGCUUUCGGGUUGUAAACUUCUUUUAAGAGGGAAGAACAGCAUGCGGUACCUCUUCCAUAAACCACGGCUAACUACGUGCCAUCAGCCGCGGUAAUGCGGAGGGGGCCAGCGUUGUCCGGAUUUACUGGGUGUAACGGGCGUGCAGCCGGGAAGACAAGUCAGAUGUGAAAUCCCGGGGCUCAACCGCGGAACUGCAUUUGAAACUGUUGGGCUUGAGUACCGGAGAGGUCAGCGGAAUUCCUGGUGUAGCGGUGAAAUGCGUAGAUAUAAGGAAGAACACCAGUGGCGAAGGCGGAUGACUGGACGGCAACUGACGGUGAGGCGCGAAAGCGUGGGGAGCAAACAGGAUUAGAUACCCCUGUAGUC